UUUUUAGUUCUGUACAUAUGCUUUAUGCAUUGAAAUACAUUCAUAUGUCUCUUUUUUUUUAGAUGUGUGUUCAUAUGUCUGUUUCUGGAAGAGAGUUGCUGGAAUUGUCAUCGCUGUUUCUGUGAUUUUACUCUUAACGUAGGUUAGCUUAAGUGAGUGCAUUUAUUAAAAUAAACUAGCUGUAGAAAGAGAGAUUCAGUAUUUCUCUUUAACGUUUUCUUCCCCUUAGUCUUCUCAUUGCUGAUGGAUAAGAGGUGUUUUCCACCUGUUUCCACCUCUCCCACACACUUGCAUGUCUGCUUUUACAGGAAAUCUAGAAGAGGAAAGUGAAACCAAGUUGUUGGUUUAGGAAUUGUCCUUAGUUGUUUACACUAGCAUUAAACUGACUUACUUCAUUACUUUUCUGCAGGGUUUUGUUUUAUGGCAGCUUGGCAAAGUGCUGAGAAAUGGUAAAGACAAUAGAGUCAUCAGCAGAGUUAGUAAGGCCGUGCUGUGUUGACAUGGUUCUGGCCUGGUUAAUUGUUUUUACAGCAGAGUUCAUAGAGCCAGAACCCCUUUAUGAGCCUUAUUCUGGCUUCAUCACCCUAGAUAUUACUACCUGUGUUUGCACUCUCCAUCAAAGACAGCUUUCUGUUCAGACUUUCUUGCCAGCAGUGUCUCAGGUGUACUUGCAGGAGUCCAUUUGCUGGCAUGUGCCUGGUGUGUGAGCACAUAAUCAGGAGUUCCUGGUUACACCGUAGCUGGUAUACAGGGAAAACUAACACUGAGCAGUGUACCUUGAUUGUUCACCCAUUUCAUAUUUGAUUCGAUGCAAGUCUCUGAUAUUUUCAAGCUAGAGAAAGCAGGUCUAGCAUUUGUAACUGUGUAUACAACUCAAUUUUAAAUAUUUCAUGCUAAGUAAGUAAUGCUCUCUUCAUUUGAACAAAAGAUCUGCCUAGAUUACUACAACUGGAGCCAUGCCCCGAUGACUGGCUGUAUUACAAGAAGAAAUGUUACUAUAUCAUUCGGGGGUUGCAGCAGAUUGGGAUUCUAGCCAGAAGUUCUGCUCGGCCCAUGGAGCUUCUCUUGCAGUGAUUCACAGCCACCAAGAGCUGAACUUUGUAAUAUAUCGAAUACGUACUACAGACUUUUGGACUGGGCUACGCAAGAGAGGAAACGAAUUCUUCUGGGUGAAUGGAGAGUCAUUUGACACAAACUUGAGGAAUUACCAAGGCCAGGUAUUACGGAUUAUUUGAAUUAGCUUACUCUGGUGGUCUUACAGGAUUCAGCGCUCACAGCCUGUAGAGACAAGGGCUCCUAAGACCAACUGAGAUGCUCAAGAACAGCUCUAAAGAUUUCAUGUAAAUACAUCCAGUGAUGGAGACUGUGUCCAUAUAGAUUCAACCUUCAUCUCUACCAGAAGUUGCUCCUCACUCAAGAGCUUGCUUUGCACUCUCGGUCAGUUUAAUGCCAACACAAGCUCGCAGCGGAGUACAGAUGACUUUGUAAGUACAGACACUUCCUCCAUAUGAAGCUAGAAUUCCACAUGUUGGAACUCUCAGCUGUAGGAGAUCACAGUAUCCAUGGAGGCAAGAGAAGCAGUGGAGGAUGAUCAUAUCCAAACUUUUCCAAAGUCAUCUGGGAAACAACACAGGUGGUAAUGGUGACUCCAUGAAAAGACCUACUCUGUUUAAAAAGUGGCAGGACCACAUCAGAAGUGAUGAUAAAAUACUUCUUAUAAAGAACAGAGUUACUUUUUGGAAAUAUUGUUUCACUGUUGAAACUGCAGAAGGACAUGAUAAUGGAUACUUAACUGGAGGACUCUGACAAUAAGCUUCAGAAUUGCAAAACAUGAUUUUUUGAGGCAGCUGAAAAGAUCAUUGGAUAGACAUGAGAUCUUAUGGAAAAUGCAACUUGUAGUGAAUCCAGUGGUUUGGUUAUUCCUGUUUUCCACAGAGCUCAAUAAUUCUUUGCCUAAGAGUUCCAGUUCAUCUUUGUGGCAAGUGGGUAAGAUCUCAUAAGGUGUUUUGACUUCCCUCACCUUCUCUCUCCAUGGGGGGUUUCAAAUGUGAUUGGCAUGUGAUGCCCAAUGGUAGAAGUGGGAGCUCUGUAAACCAGGAUGGCAGAAAGGGACUAGGUGUUCCAGGGAAUGGUGCUACUGUUACCGGCCAUAUAGUGUAGGACAAAUUACAAAUACUCUUCCUUACUCCCGAGGGUCGACCUGGAAAUAUGACUGCUAUAACACCAAAUUUCCCUGAAGAUCUUGCUACUAUGAAAGAGCUGCCUGCUUGACCCAUGCAUGGCUGCUGUUUUGGGAGGGCUGAGGAAGUCAACUUGGUUUGGAAGUGGAGGGACAUAUGUGUAACAUGGAAAAGGUUCUAGGGCAGGAUAAAGCAAGAUAUUGUAGUGCUUCUCUGUUUGCCUAUCUAGGAAAAAAAAAGAAUAGUUUUUACUGGAUCCAGCCCAGCUAUUUUAUUAAGUGACUUGUGUGGGCAAGGAUAGUUUAACAGCUCAUGGGAUUGGAUGUAUUAGAGCUAAAUUGCAUAGCAGCUUGGACUAAUCUGUUUAGAUUCUUGGUACUGGAAUUCUUGGAAUUAGUUUUGAAAAUGGACAGUGGAGGACAGGGGAAGAUCACCUGGAAGAUCUCUGAGUGCCAUCUCUCCCUGCUCUGUGGUUAUUUUUUCUUGUCUGGUCUCUUUCUGGAUCUGCAAGCAAGCUAGAAGUUGUGAGUUUCAGCAGAUACCUGUACAAUGACUCCUUCCCAAGAUAUAUGAUUUAUAAAAUGCAGUUACUGUCUUUACAAAGGUGUAACCAGGAGAAAGGCCUUUUGAGCUAGGAAAAUGUGCUAGUCUAGGAACAGAAUGACGAGUUAAGCCCAGAGAAGUUCACAGGGAAGGUGAAGAGUCUGGCAUAUGGAUCCUCAGAGAACUGCGAAGAAGAAACUGCAAACUGCUGCAGAUGCAUUUGGUGUUUAUCAAGCAGAUGUACUCCUCUGGAUGGAAAGAAACAGGUGAGACAAGAAAUUGGAACAGAGAGCAGAGAGAGAGACAAUAUUUCUUAGUUCCCCAUGAAAGUUCCUCAAGAAAGCACAAGAGCAGAAAGGGAAGCAAGCUGUAAGCAACCCUGGAGAGGGUUAGGAAUCCCAGCAUUAGGACAUAUUUCCUACCACAGGUCAGGUCAGAGGUCAGCUGAGGGAACGGGCAUGAAGUGCCAGACAGGGUAAGAAGUCCACUGUGGCAGCUUCUCACUCCUGUUUCUUUGGUAAGAGCUGGAGGGGAUGCCCCUGACACUAUUACCCCGAAGAUACUGCUGUCCUCCAUAAUGCUGCCAAUAAAUACCUAGAGGAAUUACUACCUGCUGCACAUUGGGUCUCUGUUUUUAGCUGAGCUUGAUCCUCUGCUCUACGUUUGUGGUGAUCCAAGAUUGCUUUGUUUAGUUUAUGAUACCUGCUUGCUUACAUGUGUUUAGUUGCUGUCAAUAGGUGGGCACAGAACAUAAGCUACAGUGACAUUUACAAACUCAGUAUAGGACCCGAGCCUGGCACAGCAUGUGAGUUCCUCAUGAGCCUGAUUCCAGAUGGUCACCCUCUGGAGUGCAGAAACCAAGGCACGAUCCUUGUCCAGCUGCUGUUACAUAUUUUCCAUUAAAGCAUCCUUCCAUGGAAGGCCAAAACAGCACUGGUGUCAAGAGCCCUGAGUGCGCAUUGACCUGACCAGCCUCUCCUGGGAUCUCUACCCACACCCCUUGCCCAUGGGCCCAAGAGCCCCAUUGCAGCUCAGCGCAGGGCCUUCAAUCCAUGCCUGAGCUGUUAUAGGUAUACUUGUCUGCAGCUCUGUCACAACCUCACAUUAAAAGAUGAUGACUGUUUUGUCACAUCUUACAUGAUGAUUAGGGAUAAUUAAAAUACCUUUAAGAAUACUGAAACUCAUGUGAGCUUCUCCUCAUUUUAAGCUUUUUUUCUGUCAAGUAUAACUUGCAUAAUAUUCACCAUUGUUGUGAGUUUCUCAAGCAAAGUUGAUCUGAGGAUAGGAACAUAGCACCAGAAUCAUUACAUUCAGGUGAACUGCUAAGUGCGUUUUCCUUUUAAACUUGAAUUAGAGUAACAACCCACAAAAAGAGAACGUGAAGAUAAUACUGGCUUCCUAUAUUAUUUAACCACUGUGGUUACGAUUGAAAUGGACUGGAGGGAUAUAUUAUUUCUUGUUUGUCUAGGUUAUAAACUUCUUGUGUCGUGAGCUUUUUGGCAGACAGAUCAGUUUUCACUGCAUGAUCUGUACAGAAUCCAACACAC